rnacentral:rRNA from 1 species
GACGAACGCUGGCGGCGUGCCUAAUACAUGCAAGUUGAGCGAUGAAGAUUGGUGCUUGCACCAAUUUGAAGAGCAGCGAACGGGUGAGUAACGCGUGGGGAAUCUGCCUUUGAGCGGGGGACAACAUUUGGAAACGAAUGCUAAUACCGCAUAACAACUUUAAAAAUAAGUUUUAAGUUUGAAAGAUGCAAUUGCAUCACUCAAAGAUGAUCCCGCGUUGUAUUAGCUAGUUGGUGAGGUAAAGGCUCACCAAGGCGAUGAUACAUAGCCGACCUGAGAGGGUGAUCGGCCACAUUGGGACUGAGACACGGCCCAAACUCCUACGGGAGGCAGCAGUAGGGAAUCUUCGGCAAUGGACGAAAGUCUGACCGAGCAACGCCGCGUGAGUGAAGAAGGUUUUCGGAUCGUAAAACUCUGUUGGUAGAGAAGAACGUUGGUGAGAGUGGAAAGCUCAUCAAGUGACGGUAACUACCCAGAAAGGGACGGCUAACUACGUG